rnacentral:rRNA from 1 species
AGCAGCCGCGGUAAUUCCAGCUCCAAUAGCGUAUAUUAAAGUUGUUGCAGUUAAAAAGCUCGUAGUUGAAUUUCGGGGUUAGUAGGUUGGUCAUGCCUCUGGUAUGUACUGGUCUCACUGAUUCCUCCUUCCUGAUGAACUGUAAUGCCAUUAAUUUGGUGUUGCAGGGAAUCUGGACUGUUACUUUGAAAAAAUUGAGUGUUUAAAGCAGGCUAACGCUUGAAUACAUUAGCAUGGAAUAAUGAAAUAGGACGUUCGAUCCUAUUUUGUUGGUUUCUAGGAUUGACGUAAUGAUUAAUAGGGAUAGUUGGGGGCAUUAGUAUUCAAUUGUCAGAGUGAAAUUCUUGGAUUUAUGAAGACUAACUACUGCGAAAGCAUUUGCCAAGGAUGUUCU